GUUUACUAAGAGGAAACAGGUUAAGCAUU
rnacentral:piRNA from 1 species